rnacentral:rRNA from 1 species
GGACGAACGCUGGCGGCGUGCUUAACACAUGCAAGUCGAACGGAAAGGCCCUGCUUUUGUGGGGUGCUCGAGUGGCGAACGGAUGAGUAACACGUGAGUAACCUGCCCUUGACUUUGGGAUAACUUCAGGAAACUGGGGCUAAUACCGGAUAGGAGCUCCUGCUGCAUGGUGGGGGUUGGAAAGUUUCGGCGGUUGGGGAUGGACUCGCGGCUUAUCAGCUUGUUGGUGGGGUAGUGGCUUACCAAGGCUUUGACGGGUAGCCGGCCUGAGAGGGUGACCGGCCACAUUGGGACUGAGAUACGGCCCAGACUCCUACGGGAGGCAGCAGUGGGGAAUAUUGCACAAUGGGCGGAAGCCUGAUGCAGCAACGCCGCGUGCGGGAUGACGGCCUUCGGGUUGUAAACCGCUUUCGCCUGUGACGAAGCGUGAGUGACGGUAAUGGGUAAAGAAGCACCGGCUAACUACGU